GACGAACGCUGGCGGCGUGCCUAAUACAUGCAAGUAGAACGCUGAAGAGAGGAGCUUGCUCUUCUUGGAUGAGUUGCGAACGGGUGAGUAACGCGUAGGUAACCUGCCUUGUAGCGGGGGAUAACUAUUGGAAACGAUAGCUAAUACCGCAUAACAAUGGAUGACACAUGUCAUUUAUUUGAAAGGGGCAAUUGCUCCACUACAAGAUGGACCUGCGUUGUAUUAGCUAGUAGGUGAGGUAAUGGCUCACCUAGGCGACGAUACGUAGCCGACCUGAGAGGGUGAUCGGCCACACUGGGACUGAGACACGGCCCAGACUCCUACGGGAGGCAGCAGUAGGAAAUCUUCGGCAAUGGGGGCAACCCUGACCGAGCAACGCCGCGUGAGUGAAGAAGAUUUUCGGAUCGUAAAGCUCUGUUGUAAGUCAAGAACGGGUGUGAGAGUGGAAAGUUCACACUGUGACGGUAGCUUACCAGAAAGGGACGGCUAACUACGUG
rnacentral:rRNA from 1 species